rnacentral:sRNA from 1 species
UGUUAAGCGGGAUUGCAGCGAUAUCCUUUUAUGCUGUUGCCCUGAGCGUAGUCGAAGGGCGGCAUAAAAGAUUUAGCGAAAAGCCCGGCUACAA